rnacentral:rRNA from 1 species
CCUACGGGGAGCAGCAGUGGGGAAUAUUGCACAAUGGGGGAAACCCUGAUGCAGCGACGCCGCGUGAGUGAAGAAGUAAUUCGUUAUGUAAAGCUCUAUCAGCAGGGAAGAAAAUGACGGUACCUGAGUAAGAAGCCCCGGCUAACUACGUGCCAGCAGCCGCGGUAAUACGUAGGGGGCAGGCGCUAGCCGGAUUUACUGGGUGAAAAGCGAGCGGAGACGGCAGAGCAAGUCUGGAGUGAAAGGCGGGGGCUCAACCGGAGGAUUGCUCUAGAAACUGUACGGAUUGAGUGCAGGAGAGGAGAGUGGAACUGCAUGUGGAGGGGUGUAAU